rnacentral:rRNA from 1 species
AUUGAACGCUGGCGGCAUGCUUUACACAUGCAAGUCGAACGGUAACAGGGAGCUUGCUCCGCUGACGAGUGGCGAACGGGUGAGUAAUGCAUCGGAACAUGCCCAGUCAUGGGGGAUAACUACGCGAAAGCGUAGCUAAUACCGCAUACGCCCUGAGGGGGAAAGUGGGGGGAUCUUAGGACCUCACGUGAUUGGAGUGGCCGAUGUCAGAUUAGCUAGUUGGUGAGGUAAAGGCUCACCAAGGCGACGAUCUGUAGCGGGUCUGAGAGGAUGAUCCGCCACACUGGGACUGAGACACGGCCCAGACUCCUACGGGAGGCAGCAGUGGGGAAUUUUGGACAAUGGGCGCAAGCCUGAUCCAGCCAUGCCGCGUGAGUGAAGAAGGCCUCGG